rnacentral:rRNA from 1 species
UUCUCAGUUCGGAUCGGAGUCUGCAACCCGACUCCGUGAAGCUGGAUUCGCUAGUAAUCGCGCAUCAGCCAUGGCGCGGUGAAUACGUUCCCGGGCCUUGUACACACCGCCCGUCACACCAUGGGAGUCAGUAACGCCCGAAGCCGGUGACCCAACCAUUUAGGAGGGAGCCGUCGAAGGUGGGACCGAUAACUGGGGUGAAGUCGUAACAAGGUAUC